UGGAACACACUGUUGCGAGGAUUCGUCCAGGCGGGAGAGAUUGAGCAAGCGGCCUGUGCCUACGAGAGAAUGCCCGAGAGAACUGGAGUGACUUUCACGAUUCUCAUCGGAGCUUAUGCCCUGCUCGGUUACAUCAAGGAGUCAGAAAAGAUCUUCGAGCAGAUGCCUUACUUGGAUACAGUCUCGUGCAAUGCGAUGCUGGUGGGCUUCGCUCAAAACUCUCGGCUGGAGCAAGCGCUGACGCUCUUCCACAGCACGACGAUGUUGGAGCGAAACACCGCAUCGUGGAACACCAUCUUAGCAGCGCUCGCAAGCCAUGGAAACCUGGAAGCAGCGAGAAACCACUUCAAGACCAUGCCGGAGAAAGAUAUAGUUACCUGGACGGCGAUGGUUGCCGCGCACUGUCACGCAGGUCACGGCCGAGAAGCGAUCAAGAUCUUCCGAGAGAUGGAGCAGGAAGGAUUCCGUCCAAACGAGUUCUCACUGUCCA
rnacentral:lncRNA from 1 species